AUUGAACGCUGGAGGCUGGCCUCACACAUGCAACUCGACCGAGUGGCUGAUGGGCGAGUACUGUCUGGUAAACUGCCUCAUCGUGGGGGAUCACUACUGGCAACGGUACCUAAUACCGCAUAUCAUCAGAUGUGCCCCGAUGGGAUUAGCUAGUUGGUGGGGUAACGGCUCACCAAGGCUACGAUCCCUCGCUGGUCCGAGAGGAUGACCAGCCAGGCUGGAACUGAGACACGGUCCAGACUCCUACGGGAGGCAGCAGUGGGGAAUAUUGCACAGUGGGCGCAAGCCUGAUGCAGCCAUGCCGCGUGUAGUAAGAAGGCCUUCGGGUUGUAAGGUACUUUCAGCGGGGAGGCGUUACCCGCACAAGAAGCACCGGCUAACUCCGCGCAAGCAGCCGCGGUAAUUC
rnacentral:rRNA from 1 species